CUUCCGUUAAUUGAUUAUGACGUACUUGUACUGAUUGAGAUUUUAACACGAAGUGAGUGGCGAACGGGUGAGUAACACGUGGGUAACCUGCCCAGAAGUAGGGGAUAACACCUGGAAACAGAUGCUAAUACCGUAUAACAGAGAAAACCGCAUGGUUUUCUUUUAAAAGAUGGCUCUGCUAUCACUUCUGGAUGGACCCGCGGCGUAUUAGCUAGUUGGUGAGGUAAAGGCUCACCAAGGCAGUGAUACGUAGCCGACCUGAGAGGGUAAUCGGCCACAUUGGGACUGAGACACGGCCCAGACUCCUACGGGAGGCAGCAGUAGGGAAUCUUCCACAAUGGACGCAAGUCUGAUGGAGCAACGCCGCGUGAGUGAAGAAGGGUUUCGGCUCGUAAAGCUCUGUUGUUAAAGAAGAACGUGGGUAAGAGUAACUGUUUACCCAGUGACGGUAUUUAACCAGAAAGCCACGGCUAACUACGUGCCAGCAGCCGCGGUAAUACGUAGGUGGCAAGCGUUAUCCGGAUUUAUUGGGCGUAAAGCGAGCGCAGGCGGUCUUUUAAGUCUAAUGUGAAAGCCUUCGGCUCAACCGAAGAAGUGCAUUGGAAACUGGGAGACUUGAGUGCAGAAGAGGACAGUGGAACUCCAUGUGUAGCGGUGAAAUGCGUAGAUAUAUGGAAGA
rnacentral:rRNA from 1 species